CGGCAGGCCUAACACAUGCAAGUCGAGCGGUAGCACAGAUAGCUUGCUCUCGGGUGACGAGCGGCGGACGGGUGAGUAAUGUCUGGGAAACUGCCUGAUGGAGGGGGAUAACUACUGGAAACGGUAGCUAAUACCGCAUAACGUCGCAAGACCAAAGUGGGGGACCUUCGGGCCUCAUGCCAUCAGAUGUGCCCAGAUGGGAUUAGCUAGUAGGUGGGGUAACGGCUCACCUAGGCGACGAUCCCUAGCUGGUCUGAGAGGAUGACCAGCCACACUGGAACUGAGACACGGUCCAGACUCCUACGGGAGGCAGCAGUGGGGAAUAUUGCACAAUGGGCGCAAGCCUGAUGCAGCCAUGCCGCGUGUGUGAAGAAGGCCUUCGGGUUGUAAAGCACUUUCAGCGGGGAGGAAGGCGGUGAGGUUAAUAACCUCAUCGAUUGACGUUACCCGCAGAAGAAGCACCGGCUAACUCCGUGCCAGCAGCCGCGGUAAUACGGAGGGUGCAAGCGUUAAUCGGAAUUACUGGGCGUAAAGCGCACGCAGGCGGUCUGUCAAGUCGGAUGUGAAAUCCCCGGGCUUAACCUGGGAACUGCAUUCGAAACUGGCAGGCUAGAGUCUUGUAGAGGGGGGUAGAAUUCCAGGUGUAGCGGUGAAAUGCGUAGAGAUCUGGAGGAAUACCGGUGGCGAAGGCGGCCCCCCUGGACAAAGACUGACGCUCAGGUGCGAAAGCGUGGGGAGCAAACAGGAUUAGAUACCCUGGUAGUCCACGCCGUAAACGAUGUCGAUUUGGAGGUUGUGCCCUUGAGGCGUGGCUUCCGGAGCUAACGCGUUAAAUCGACCGCCUGGGGAGUACGGCCGCAAGGUUAAAACUCAAAUGAAUUGACGAGGGCCCGCACAAGCGGUGGAGCAUGUGGUUUAAUUCGAUGCAACGCGAAGAACCUUACCUGGUCUUGACAUCCACAGAACUUUCCAGAGAUGGAUUGGUGCCUUCGGGAACUGUGAGACAGGUGCUGCAUGGCUGUCGUCAGCUCGUGUUGUGAAAUGUUGGGUUAAGUCCCGCAACGAGCGCAACCCUUAUCCUUUGCUGCCAGCGGUUAGGCCGGGAACUCAAAGGAGACUGCCAGUGAUAAACUGGAGGAAGGUGGGGAUGACGUCAAGUCAUCAUGGCCCUUACGACCAGGGCUACACACGUGCUACAAUGGCAUAUACAAAGAGAAGCGACCUCGCGAGAGCAAGCGGACCUCAUAAAGUAUGUCGUAGUCCGGAUUGGAGUCUGCAACUCGACUCCAUGAAGUCGGAAUCGCUAGUAAUCGUAGAUCAGAAUGCUACGGUGAAUACGUUCCCGGGCCUUGUACACACCGCCCGUCACACCAUGGGAGUGGGUUGCAAAAGAAGUAGGUAGCUUAACCUUCGGGAGGGCGCCUACCACUUUGUGAUUCAUGACUGGGGUGAAGUCAUAAC
rnacentral:rRNA from 1 species